AAGGUAUUUACAGACUAAUCUGAUCAAAAUCUUUCCAGGUAUUGAUGUUAGACUGACUUGUCUGUGGUCUUCUAUGUUCAACCUUUUGUUCCUUGGAAGACAGGGCCAGUGUUUGCUUUCCUUCAGUAAUUUGGUACUUUAUCCAUUCUCUAGGAACUUUCAAAGACAAUGAAUAGAAAUGUAUUGAAGCAGGUUUCUUCAACACCAUGAGAUAUAGCCCAUCUGACUUUAGAGAUAUGAAUGCAUUCAACAUCAAUAGGUAUUUCCUGUUAACGUUUCUGUCAAGCACAAACUAGGUCCUGUUUCCUCUACUUGCUAUUCAGAACUGCAUGGUUUAAUCUACAUUUUCUUCUUGUUGUAUAAUAAAUCAGCAGAAUAUCAAAUGUGAGGAAGAGGAUCCCUCAAGGCACCUUACUGAAAGUCAAUCCCAUUCCUCAAACAAUCACUAUUCCACCUUCCCACACUCCAUUCCCAGGAGCUUCUUAUGGAGCUGAAGAAAAGGAGGUCAUCCUUGGUAAUCCCUAUAAAUAGGGUAUUUAUGUCACACUCAGCCCUCUUAGUCCAGGGUAUGUUUAGAUGCUAAGAGAUCCAGGUCAUCUUCUGUUUAUGAAUUGCAAUGGAAGCAGCUCAGGAUAUUAUAGCAUCAAGGCAAAGAAUCCUGAAGCUAUCUUCCAAUGAUGAUGAUCAAAAUACAUAGUAAGAAACUGAAUGAUAAUGGUGUUCCCAGUUCUGAUGUCACCUGUUGAGCUGGGCUUGUACAUCUAAAACGAAUGCAGAACCAUGCCAAACCUCAACCCAAACUUCUCCCAGACGGAACAAACUGAAGUCAUCUAUGGAUUAAAAAUGAUCAUUGCAAGCCAACCUGGGAACAGGACAGGGGUGUCCACAGGGUAUGAUUUAAAAAGUGAAUGGCAGCUGCAAUAUUCAAGGCUCUGCCUGUUUUUUGUGUGUGUUGCGUGUGCAUGUUGCACACUGAAAUUUAGUCAGUCUCCCUGAGAAUCAAUUCUGGUCUGGUCUGCAUAGUUCGGUCUAUUCACCUGUAUAGUUUCGAUUGGUUUCCACUCUUUGAUCAUACCACAGUUUUACACCAUAGCAUGCAAAGAAUACUGAAAGAAGAUGUUUGUAGUAAGGCUAUCAGUAUAGGUUUGAAGAAAUAAAUAUGCAAGACGGAAAGCCAUUUUUGUUAGAUGAGAGAGUCUGUGGCUAGAAAGCAUUGCCUUUCAACAAUGGCAACUAUUCUUUGGAACCACUUCCCUCUUGACAUGCCACUGGCCUCCUUUGGCAGUGAUCUUCCAGAAAUGAACACAGGCUGAACUCCUCUGGAGGAUGUUUGGGAUAUGAACCUUUGCCAUCUCUAUUGGUUCUUCUCCUUUUUUAAAAAUUGUUACCAUUAUUUCUAGUUUUCGCUUCUUGAGUUGUCCUAGGCUCUUUUGUUAUGGGGGAUUGUAGAGAACAGUUUUAAUUGUUUAUUAUUUUGAUUUCAUCCUGGGGGCUUUGUUGUAUUUGCUUUUGCUUUGAUUUCUGUUUCAGUGGAGGUUUAUAUUGUGUUUUAACUUGUAACCUGCUGAGAUUUGGAAUGACUCAGCAGCACACAAAUUUAAUAAACAAAGAAGUAAACAAAUAAAUAAAAGCGAUAAAUCAAAUAACAUACAUUUGAUUUCUCACACACACAUGAAAAAAAAACGAGACAAUUCAGGGAAAAUACGAGAAAAAAAUAGACCCACGGUCGCUCUCUUAUGUUGUGUGAUUUCUAUAUUUUGAUAUAUGGAGAUUAAGACUGUUCUUUGCUCAGGCAUACAGGAAGUGCCAGGGAAGUGUCAAUAACAGAGUGAUCAUCUUGGGUCAAGUAUGCUGAGACAGGCAUUUCUCUGCCAAGAUUGUAUAAAUAGAUAGUUCCUGUGAAGGGUGUGAAGCUAUUGGGAGGGGAAGCGUUCUGGGUUGUUGAAGAGCAGUAGCUGACAGAGCACCAGGAAGCUAGCUUUUGCAUUAUGGCUAAGUGCUAUUCAAGCAAAAAGUAUCAGAUCAGGUACUUUGCCACUUUAGUUAAACACUCUGCCUUUCUCACUGAAGCAUGCCCUUUGACCAGCUAACAAUGCAAUACUGUGCCUCUCUCCUUAGAAUUAAGCUUAUUUCUUUCAACCUGGGCAGGCAACAGUUUUCCACCAGGGUGAAUUUUCAUUUUUUCCCUGUUUCCAACAGCUGCAGGAGAUGUGGGUGGCAAUCUGCUGCCAUUUCUGUUGUCUGCAGAGGUAAACAUUUUGGCCCACAUAUUAAAAAAAACCCUACGUUGUUGGGAAGGUGUAUAGAAAAUAGCUAUGUUAAGCCACCAAGAUAAAAAAAAUAUUGCCCCAAAUCACCAUUUUGCAAUGCAGUUUCUCUCCAGGGAGAUGUGGAGAACUUGGUCUGUUUAACUAAGGUGCAUAUAUAAGCAGAAGAGAGAUUCAGUAAAUAUUCCGUUGAUUUGCAGAAUAUUACCAAAAGGUUCUGAUUUCUGUUAGUUCAAGGGUAAGUAAACCUUUUCAGCCUAAGGACUGUUCCUUCCAGUAGAGAGGCUACAGAGGGCAUGGAAUCACAAGAAUUGGAUUUGUGGUGGUAGGAUCGCAUCCCUAGAUGUCCAAACUAUGCAGUCUA